UGCCAGCAGCCGCGGUAAUACGGGGGGUGCAAGCGUUAAUCGGAAUUAUUGGGCGUAAAGGGUGAGUAGGUGGCCAAGUAUGUCAGGUGUGAAAUCCCGGGGCUUAACCCCGGAACUGCGCCUGAAACUACUUGGCUAGAGUCUCGGAGAGGAUAGUGGAAUUCCAAGUGUAGCGGUGAAAUGCGUAGAUAUUUGGAGGAACACCAGUGGCGAAGGCGACUAUCUGGACGAGUACUGACGCUCAAUCACGAAAGCGUGGGUAGCGAAAGGGAUUAGAUA
rnacentral:rRNA from 1 species